CUAGUUGUAUUAUUAGUUAAUGCAAGAUCGACUACGUCGACUAAAGUUCUAGGUAGAAUAAUGAUGAUGACAAUUUUUUACCUAUAUGUCUUGACCAAGUCUCGUGCCAGCAGUCGCGGUAAUACGUGGAAGACUAGUGUUAUUCAUCUUUAUUAGGUUUAAAGGGUACCUAGACGGUAUUUCUAGCCCAAAAUAGGGUACGGAUUUACUAGAGUUUUAUGUGAGGAGGGGAGUACUCAUAGAGUAGAGAUGAAAUUUUGUUAUACUAUGAGGUAACUGGUGGCGGCGAAAGCAACCUUCUAUGUAUAAACUGACGUUGAGGGACGAAGGCUUGGGUAGCAAAUAGGAUUAGAUACCCUAGUAGUCCAAGCAGACAAUUCUGAAUGCCAUAGAUUAGAUUAUUUUUGGUCUAUAAAUGAAAGUGUAAGCAUUCCACCUUAGGAGUAAUGUGGCAACACAGGAACUGAAAUCAUUAGACCGUUUCUGAAACCAGUAGUGAAGUAUGUUAUUUAAAUUGAUGGUCCACAAAAAACCUUACCACAACUUGAAUAUUUUUAAUUUAUACAAGCGUUGCACGGCUGUCUUCAGUUAAUGUCGUGAGAUUUUGGUUAACUCCAUUAAUUAACGUAAACCCUUACUUUA
rnacentral:rRNA from 1 species